rnacentral:rRNA from 1 species
UACGUAGGAGGCGAGCGUUGUCCGGAAUCACUGGGCGUAAAGCGCGUGUAGGCGGGGGGGCAAGUCUGCUGUGAAAGCGCCUGGCUUAACCGGGCGAGGUCGGCGGAAACUGCUUCCCUGGAGGGCGGUAGAGGGGGGUGGAAUUCCCGGUGUAGUGGUGAAAUGCGUAGAGAUCGGGAGGAACACCUGUGGCGAAGGCGGCCCCCUGGGCCGUACCUGACGCUGAGGCGCGAAAGCGUGGGGAGCGAACGGG